GACGAACGCUGGCGGCGUGCUUAACACAUGCAAGUCGAGCGGUAAGGCCCCUUCGGGGUUACACGAGCGGCGAACGGGUGAGUAACACGUGAGCAAUCUACCCAUCACAUCGGGAUAACUCCGGGAAACCGAAGCUAAUACCGAAUACGACCACCUCCGGCAUCGGAUGGUGGUGGAAAGUUCCGGCGGUGGUGGAUGAGCUCGCGGCCUAUCAGCUUGUUGGUGGGGUAACGGCCCACCAAGGCUUCGACGGGUAGCCGGCCUGAGAGGGUGACCGGCCACACUGGGACUGAGACACGGCCCAGACUCCUACGGGAGGCAGCAGUGGGGAAUAUUGGACAAUGGGCGAAAGCCUGAUCCAGCAACGCCGCGUGAGGGAUGACGGCCUUCGGGUUGUAAACCUCUUUCAGCAGGGACGAAGCGCAAGUGACGGUACCUGCAGAAGAAGCACCGGCCAACUACGUG
rnacentral:rRNA from 1 species